AAAAAUUAUACGAUACAAACUCUAAUUUCAACAUAAAAGAAGAAGUCAUACUCAAGAUGAAUGUGGAAUACAAGGAAACGGAAAUUAGUAUCUUUCUGAUAUUAGAUCACCUUGAAAAAUACUUGAAGAAUUAGAUUCUUCCUCUGCCAAGGGAUUGAUUAUUUCAACGGAUCGAAUAGUAUGCCUGUCCUCUGUGCAGGUUACGUUGUCCAUUGCCUCCUCCUGGGGUAGUGGCUGCGUUGACCGGCGGGUGCGGCGCACGUACUUACUUCUUAGAGGGACAAGCGACUGUAUUCGAACAAAAUUGAGGAAUAACUGGUCUGUGAUGCCCUUAGAUGUCCGGGGCCGCACGUGCGCUACAAUGACGGUUUCAGCGAGUUUGGAAUCCUGGCCUGAUCAGGUUGGGUAAACUGAAUCAUAACCGUCAUGACUGUUAUCGGGGCUUGCAAUUGUUCCCCGUGAACGAAGAAUUCCUGGUAAGGGUAAGUCAUAAGCUUGUGCUGAUUACGUCUGUGCCCUUUUUACACACCAUCCGUCGUUACUACCGAUUGAAUGGUUUAGCAAGGUCCUCGGAUUGGUGCCAUUGUAGUGGCUUCGGCCGCUCGACCGGCGCUGAGAAGACGACCAAACUUGUUCAUUUAGAGGAAGUAAAAGUCGUAACAAGGUUUCCGUAGGUGAACCUGCGGAGGGAUCAUUGCCGAAAUCCUAAUCUGGCAUUUUUGGAAACGAAAAUUCUGCAGUUCUACGAGUUACCUGUUGACUCAUAUAGAUUGCGGUUGAUUGAUGCUUUAUCAAACAAUAAAUUCACGGGCCUCAAAGCUCGCACAGUCGUUCACCAAAUCACGGGUAUCAUACCUGAGUCGCUCGACUCGUUCCACUCAAUAACGGAACGCUUCUACAAUUUGACUAAACCUAUUGAGGAGAGUAACCUAGUGACAGACCGUGUGGCCCACCACAUAGUUACUUAUGGACCAACAGUCACAGUCCAGUCCAGUUCAGUCCAGUCUUCACAGGACGAAUGAUGGUCCUUGCCAAUCGAGCGUCCAGAUUAUUGUGUUGUCGGCGGGUGUUCUUGGCUCCCAACACUGCGUUUUCUGAGUUUCUUUUAGCCA
rnacentral:ncRNA from 1 species